GUGAGGAAUAUUGCGCAAUGGAGGCAACUCUGACGCAGCCAUGCCGCGUGCAGGAAGAAGGCGCUACGCGUUGUAAACUGCUUUUAACCGGGAAGAAACCCCAGGACGUGUCCUGGGUUGACGGUACCGGAGGAAUAAGCACCGGCUAACUUCGUGCCAGCAGCCGCGGUAAUACGAAGGGUGCAAGCGUUAUCCGGAUUCAUUGGGUUUAAAGGGUGCGUAGGCGGAGCGUUAAGUCAGUGGUGAAAUCCUGCAGCUCAACUGUAGACUUGCCAUUGAUACUGGCGCUCUUGAGUGCGCUUGAAGUGGGCGGAAUGUGCCGUGUAGCGGUGAAAUGCUUAGAUAUGGCACAGAACACCAAUUGCGAAGGCAGCUCACUAAGGCGAUACUGACGCUGAGGCACGAAAGCGUGGGGAUCGAACAGGAUUAGAUACCCUUGUAGUCC
rnacentral:rRNA from 1 species